UAAGGAAUAUUGGUCAAUGGACGGAAGUCUGAACCAGCCAUGCCGCGUGCAGGACGACUGCCCUAUGGGUUGUAAAACUGCUUUUUAUACGGGAACAAACCCCUAUACGUGUAUAGGGCUGAGUGUACUGUAGGAAUAAGGAUCGGCUAACUCCGUGCCAGCAGCCGCGGUAAUACGGAGGAUCCGAGCGUUAUCCGGAAUUAUUGGGUUUAAAGGGUGCGUAGGCGGCCAAAUAAGUCAGGGGUGAAAGGCGUCAGCUCAACUGUCGCAGUGCCUUUGAUACUGUUUGGCUUGAAUGUGGUUGAAGAUGGCGGAAUGAGACAAGUAGCGGUGAAAUUGCAUAGAUAUGUCUUCAGAACCCCGAUUGCGAAGGCAGCUAUCUAAGCCGUUAUUUGACGCUGAUGCACGAAAAGCGUGGGUAGCAAAACA
rnacentral:rRNA from 1 species